UAUGGAUGGUGUAGUUGGUAACACGCUUGCUCUAGGGCAAGAGAUCACCGGUUCGAGUCCGGUUCUAUACU
rnacentral:tRNA from 1 species